UCUCUCUCUCUCUCUCUCGCGGCGUCCAUGGCACUUAGAAUCCUCUUUUAAAACAACAAUAAUAAUAAUAAUAAUAAUAAUAAUAAUAAUAAUAAUAAUAAUAAUAAUAAUAAUAAUAAUAAUAAUAAUAAUAAUCACAGUAAUUAUACUUUCAACUCUACUUAUUUUUCGACUGAGAUCACACUCACUUGCAUUCCUGUUUAUGUCACGUCUCACUCGGGUCAGCACAGGUCACAAGAGGUCACAGAUGGCUGGCAGGUCAGGUCAGGUCAGGUGGGGUUAAUCAAGUCAGGUGGAGGACAGGUCAGGAGGUAGACAUUUUCUCUUCCUUUCCAUUUUUCUUCUCUUUUCAUCUAUUCUUUUCUUUUUCAUUCGUUUUCUGCUUUACUUUUGUUCCUCUUAUUCCUUCUUUCUCUCUUUCUUCUGUUUUUUUUUCCUUUUCUUUUAUAUUAUUUUUCUCUUCUUUUCUUCUUCUUAUAGUUAUGUCCUUCUUUCUUUUCUAACUCCUUCUAUUUUUCCUUAUUUUUAUCUUAUAUUUUGCUAGUUUUCAUUUUUUCGUCCCUUUUUUCUUUUCAUUUUUUCUUUCCCUCUUUUUUUCUUUUUUCCUUCCAUUAGCGGGUUUGAACUUUUUAUGCAAGACUUUUCCUCCUCUUACUCCACUUAAAUCUCCUCAUCCUCCUCUGCUCUCUCUCUCUCUCUCUCUCUCUCUCUCUCUCUCUCUCCUUCUUUUUCACACUCUUCCUCCUCCUCAUCUUCCUCCUCUUGUUUAUGCUUUUUUUGAGCUCUUUCGGUUCUCCUCUUUUUCCUCUUUAUUCUCAUUCGUCACUAAAUUCUCCUUCUCCUCCUCUUCCUUCUCUCUCUCCUCUUCUUUCCUUUCUCUUUUUCAUACUCUUCCUCUUGUUCCUCUUCCUCCUUCUCCCAUUCAUACUUAUUUUUCUCCCUUCGCUUCUCUUUUUCUUCUCUGUUUUUUCUCUUCUAAUGCACGACUUAAAGUUCUCUCUCUUUUUUUCUCUCUCCUCACAAGUUUCCUCUCCUCUCCACAUUAGCAGGUUAGCAGGAGCAGAACUUCCUCCUUCCCUCCGUCAGUAAUAGGCAGUCAGCAGUCAGCAGGCCACGAAACCCUUACAUCCUCAGCAGACCAAACCUUCCAUCAGCAGUCAGUCAGCAGGUAGUGGGCCUCCAAAACCUCCCUUUCUCAGCACUCAGCAGGUAAUCAACACGUCCUUUCCAUCAGCAGGGAGUCAGCAGGCUACUAAAACUUCCUUUCCUCAACUUCCUCAGCAGUGCAAAGGUUCAGUCAGCAGGGAGUCAGCAGGCCAUUAAAACUUCCCUUCCUCAACUUCCUCAGCAGUGCAAAGAUUCAGUCAGCAGGGAGUCAGCAGGCCAUCAAAACUUCCCUUCCUCAACUUCCUCAGCAGUGCAAAGGG